rnacentral:rRNA from 1 species
UACAGAGGGUGCAAGCGUUGUUCGGAAUUAUUGGGCGUAAAGAGCUCGUAGGCGGUUUGGCAAGUCGGGUGUGAAAACUCCGGGCUCAACUCGGAGACGCCACUCGAUACUGCCCAUGACUCGAGUCCGGUAGGGGACGUGGCGGAAUUCCUUGGUGUAGCGGUGAAAUGCGUAGAUAUCGAGAGGAACACCUGAGGUGAAGACGGGGUUGCUGGGCCGACACGUGACGCUGACAGCGCGAAAGCCAGGGGAGCAAACGGGG